AUGAAAUAUUUUUUUCCUUCCCUCUUUCAGAGAACCUCAGCCAGCAAGUCUUCGAGUGCUCCUUCCUAUAGCAGAUGGUCCAGUCCACAGCCACAUCAGACUCCAAUAAGAAGAUACCUUGGGCUGCUUUCAGUGUUGGUGGGAGUACGACAGGAGAUACAUCUGUUCCUGUCCUUAUAUGAUGGAUUAUUAGAGGAUGAGAGUGAAGACUUGACUUCAUAGUUGUGUUUCUGGAUGUCCAGGAGGUACCACAAUGCCUCACACUAAGUUGGUGAUUGACAGCAAUUCCAAGAGGAAUAAUACAUUAAUGAGGUCAAGAAGGUCUGAAGUUAAUGUGGAAGCUGGACCAUCUACCUGGAUAUUGACUGGGCCAGUGUGACAGCCAGUGUGGAUGCUCAAUUAUCUUCAUGGACACCCUGGAAAUGGCCAGAGUAGAUGCUGGGAGGAAGCAUGGGUACAAGUGCUCAAGGCUCUGUGAGAGUAGUAGCAUGCCUGGAAAGUAUGUAGGUGAGGAAAACAAGAUGCAAGCGUCAAAGUAAAAGAAAUUUUUAUGUGGUGGGGAACAAGUAGCGAUCAGGAAAAAAAGAAUUUAGAGAACAAAUACUGUGAAAUAAAGGAGCAACUCUGAACUGAAGAAUGAUAAGGGAAACAGUAUGUGAGUGAAAAACUGACCAUUGAGGCACAGAAAAAUCACCAUGAAAAGGAAGUGAGUGUAUUAGGAAAUAUGUUCAUAAUACCGCUAGGGUUCUAAGGAAGUGUAUUAGUGAUUCAAAGGGAAGCAUCUCAAAACAGAAUAAGAAUGAUCAUAUAGGCUAUGGAAGGUGAGGUGACUGCAGGUGAAGAAAAACUGUCAUAUUGCGUGGUUUUACUUUUCUCCAUGUAGAACUUCCACAAAUUAAAAUACUUAAUUGCCUUCCAAAUAAUACAGUUUGUUCUCAGAGAAGAAAGAUGCUUUUUGAAAGAUGCAGUAAUCUUUUGGGUCAAAUAUAAGCAAAUAACAACUCCUUACUCAUAAAGCAGACUGGUAGACAUUAAAAUUUUCAGAAUCAUUUUGGUAAGUAAAAAGAACAUAAAAUUUCACCUUGGUUUGCAUAAACAGUCACUGGGAAAUCAUUAUAUAAAUUAUUUAUAUGCCAACUCAUGGGUGCCAUGCACUAUAGUUAAUAAUACUAUUUGUCAAAACAGCUCAUUUGUAAAAACCAUUUCAUAAAAUGAAAAGGUAGAACAUUUUAUAUUAGAUGCUUACUGCAGAUAAGAAAGAGAAAAUAGAAUCCAUUUCCCCUAAUAUAUGUUUCACAUAACCAUAAAAAUAAUUUUCACAUGACAAGUACUAUAUGGUGAUCCCUGAAAGGAUCAAACAAAGUAUAGGUCACUCGAACUUGUCCUGCAUAUUUAUGUAAUUAUUCCAAAAUGAGGAUUAAUCUGAGGUUUCUUGGAAAAAUAUUUGAGCAUACAAGAGAGAAACAUUAUGGUUGCAUGAACUGGUGUUUCAAAUAUCUUCUCUCAAAUUCCAUUUGAUUCUAUUUUCUGCAGUACUGUUCUGCAUAACAUUGUUUGAAAAUGCACAGGAGUCAUAGAUCCAGAUUCAUGGUCCCUGCAGUCAUGAUGCAUGUUUCUACCUGAUAGGUGGUCUCAUUUUAUAUGAAUUUGCAGUUGGAUCUGAGUGAGGUUGAAAUGAGACAGUCACAGGAAUAGUUCUGAGAUGUGAGUCUGAAGACAAAAAUUAUGUUUUUCUCUAAGUAAAAAAAAAAAAAAAAAAGUUUCCAAAUCAGCCUUAAAGCAGGAUUUAACCAUUAGUCAUAUCAUUUUUGUGUGUGUAUAUAAAAACUUACUCAAGUAUGUUAAUAAAAGUAAAUUGGUGGUUUAAUUAGAGCUUUGAAUCUGGAAGAUCAUUGUCACAAGGGUCUAGUUUAUUAUAAUAACUAAUUGAAUGAAAUAAGAGAAUAAGUGAGUGAAUGUUUCUGUGGAUACACAGAGUUGAUAUUAACAAGGAUACAGCUUUCAUUCAUUCUGGAUGUAGAAGCUCUUAGAGAAAAAUAAACACUCAAAGGUUCUUACAGCAUCUUCCUUUCCAAUAGUAACGACAUUUCCUACUUCUCAGUGGAGGGAGGUUUUGGUGUAAUUACCCAUCUCUGUUUCCCUGAGGAGACCUUAAACUUUGAGAAAAGUGCAUGCCAAUGUUGCCGGUUAAGUGGCCUUCCCCAGAGACCUCUUCUAGUUCAACUGUGAAGUUGAUAAAACUAGGAGAAAAACUGAGGAAGCGCACCAACUGCUGAACAAAGUGGCCUCCUCUGGAGAUUACCCUGGAUGUGGUUGGUUUGAAUGCCAUGAUAAGGCAUCUUGCUCUUCAGAGAUAAUAGUUUUGAGGUGUUUAAACAAUUAUGUACUUACUUUGUGAAAAUAUUUAUACCAUUUUAAUGAUAUAAUUUUCUGUAAGCUUUCUAAUGAGCCCUCAAGUGACCUCAGUAAAACAAGACUGUGCUUGGCAAAAGCAAUUUCCAAGGAGACCAUUUUUAAUUGCUUAAAAUUUCAAACUGAUGGUGUUAGCAGCUGCUUGCUGGAAUGGGUAGGCUCCUCCCUCAUACAAGUCCUGAUGAGCACAUUUAUUUAAUACAGUAACAGUUACCAUAAGCUGGAGUCUGAGAGAGGUUAAAUGCUGUAGGGGUCUCCAGAGUUAUUUGGUUACCUAUUCUGUAUCAGGCAAAGGAAUUCACACUCCAGAAAUUCAAAUCCUUCUUUGCUUUGUUAAGUGAUGGAAUAAUCUGAUGAAAUACUCCAAAUACAGUGAUCCAAUCCUUAAUUUUUUUAACCUAUUUCAUGAAACUGCUACUAAUUCUCAAUGUAGUAUAUAUAUCAGU
rnacentral:lncRNA from 1 species